rnacentral:lncRNA from 1 species
AAACACCUUCUCUCCACCAACAACGACAAGCUUUUCGUUCUUCACAAAUUUAAGCCUCCGGUGUAGAGUAGAUGUCAUAGCUCCUGCUUCAUGAAUCCAUGGUCUUCCCAAUAAACAACUAUAGGCCGGGUGAAUAUCCAUCACUUAAAAAGUAAUAUGAAAAUCACUCAAACCUAUCUUUACUGGAAGGUCCACUUCACUAAUGACGGUUUUACGAGAACCAUCAAACGCCUUAACAAUCACACCAUUGUACCUCAUAGGGGAACCUUGAUAGGAAUGUUU